CCCUGCCCUUUGUACACACCGCCCGUCGCUACUACCGAUUGAAUGGCUUAGUGAGAUCUCCGGAUUGGCGUCGGGGAGCCGGCGACGGCACCCCUUGGCCGAGAAGCUGAUCAAACUUGGUCAUUUAGAGG
rnacentral:rRNA from 1 species